rnacentral:tRNA from 17 species
GGGGACGUAGCUCAGCUGGGAGAGCGCCUGCUUUGCAAGCAGGAGGUCAGGGGUUCGAAUCCCCUCGUCUCCACCA